CGCGUAGGCGGUUUUUUAAGUCAGAUGUGAAAUCCCGGGGCUUAACCCCGGAAGUGCAUUUGAAACUGAAAGACUUGAGUAUGGGAGAGGGAAGUGGAAUUCCUGGUGUAGAGGUGAAAUUCGUAGAUAUCAGGAGGAACACCGGUGGCGAAGGCGACUUCCUGGACCAAUACUGACGCUGAGGCGCGAAGGCGUGGGGAGCAAACAGGAUUAGAUACCCUGGUAGUCC
rnacentral:rRNA from 1 species